AAGUCGUAACAAGGUUUCCGUAGGUGAACCUGCGGAAGGAUCAUUAACACGUAUCCAACGUUAAACAACCCUGUGAACUUUCAACCCCGUCGGAAUCCAACUCCGGCGAAGACAAGUGACCUGGCACCUGACCUCAUCAAAGCUCUGACAGCGUGCCUCUGGAUGCUUAAUGGAAGGGUGACGCAGUAACGAUCGCUGGAGGCCCACACGGCCGGCGACCGGGUCAGCGGCAUUCUUUAAUGCCCCUUAAAACCACUUAACAUGACGACAGUUCCUCUUUAACUUGAGUUGAGCUAUAACAAAAAACUAAUACAACUGUUAACAAUGGAUAUCUUGGUUCUC
rnacentral:misc_RNA from 1 species